ACGCUUUGGCAGCUGAUAUACUAAAUUGGAAUGAUAUAGAGAAUAUUAGCAUGGCUCCUGUGCCAGGAUGACACAUAAAUUCAUGAAGCAUUCCAUAGUAAA